AUUCUUACGCUUGGGGCAAUAACUUAGCUAGCUAGUGAGGUACUAACUAAGGCGUAUUUAUUGCUGGUUGAAAACUAUUUUUAAACCCUCUUUUCGGUCUAGGUUUUGUCUAGGUCGUAGAGAAUUUUUGAAAAAAUUCGCUAA
rnacentral:snRNA from 1 species